rnacentral:misc_RNA from 1 species
GAUGAAGAACGUAGCGAAAUGCGAUAAUUAAUGUGAAUUGCAGAUUUCAGUGAAUCAUCGAGUCUUUGAACGCACAUUGCGCCCCCUGGUAUUCCGGGGGGCAUGCCUGUCCGAGCGUCAUUGCUGCCCUCAAGCACGGCUUGUGUGUUGGGCCUCCGUCCUCCUCCCGGGGGACGGGCCCGAAAGGCAGCGGCGGCACCGCGUCCGGUCCUCGAGCGUAUGGGGCUUCGUCACCCGCUCUUGUAGGCCCGGCCGGCGCUUGCCGACACAUCAAUCUUUUUUCCAGGUUGACCUCGGAUCAGGUAGGGAUACCCGCUGAACUUAAGCAUAUCAAUAAGCGGAGGA